GCAAAAGCAUGAUUCGUGCCUAGUAGUAGUAAUAUUGCUAGCAAAACCCUUUAACUGCUGGAAAAUCCUAAAGCCUUUAGUACCAAAGUGUAACAAUCUAAAGGAUAUAUGGGCAAUCAGCAUCCAAGACUCUUUAUGAGUAAGGUUCAACGACUAUCCGAAAGCAAUCUUAGGAUUGUGAGUAGCGGUGAAAUUCCGCAAUAGGAGUACGGCUCAAGCGAUUGGAGUGGGUGAGAAUCCCUUAAAUGGAAAUGGGGGUUAUCCUUAAUAGAUAAGGAUAGUGAUAUAGUCUCGUCUCUAUAGAAAUAUAGAG
rnacentral:ncRNA from 1 species